UACGGAGGGGGCUAGCGUUGUUCGGAAUUACUGGGCGUAAAGCGCGCGUAGGCGGCUUUGUAAGUUAGAGGUGAAAGCCCAGGGCUCAACCCUGGAAUUGCCUUUAAGACUGCAUCGCUUGAACAUCGGAGAGGUAAGUGGAAUUCCGAGUGUAGAGGUGAAAUUCGUAGAUAUUCGGAAGAACACCAGUGGCGAAGGCGACUUACUGGGACGAUUGUUGACGCUGAGGUGCGAAAGGCGUGGGGAGCAAACAGG
rnacentral:rRNA from 1 species